GAUGAACGCUGGCGGCGUGCCUAAUACAUGCAAGUCGAGCGAACAGAUGAGGAGCUUGCUCCUCUGACGUUAGCGGCGGACGGGUGAGUAACACGUGGAUAACCUACCUAUAAGACUGGGAUAACUUCGGGAAACCGGAGCUAAUACCGGAUAAUAUAUUGAACCGCAUGGUUCAAUAGUGAAAGACGGUUUUGCUGUCACUUAUAGAUGGAUCCGCGCCGCAUUAGCUAGUUGGUGAGGUAACGGCUUACCAAGGCAACGAUGCGUAGCCGACCUGAGAGGGUGAUCGGCCACACUGGAACUGAGACACGGUCCAGACUCCUACGGGAGGCAGCAGUAGGGAAUCUUCCGCAAUGGGCGAAAGCCUGACGGAGCAACGCCGCGUGAGUGAUGAAGGUCUUCGGAUCGUAAAACUCUGUUAUUAGGGAAGAACAAAUGUGUAAGUAACUAUGCACGUCUUGACGGUACCUAAUCAGAAAGCCACGGCUAACUACGUG
rnacentral:rRNA from 1 species